rnacentral:rRNA from 1 species
GAUGAACGCUGGCGGCGUGCCUAAUACAUGCAAGUCGAGCGAACGGACGAGAAGCUUGCUUCUCUGAUGUUAGCGGCGGACGGGUGAGUAACACGUGGAUAACCUACCUAUAAGACUGGGAUAACUUCGGGAAACCGUAGCUAAUACCGGAUAAUAUUUUGAACCGCAUGGUUCAAAAGUGAAAGACGGUCUUGCUGUCACUUAUAGAUGGAUCCGCGCUGCAUUAGCUAGUUGGUAAGGUAACGGCUUACCAAGGCAACGAUGCAUAGCCGACCUGAGAGGGUGAUCGGCCACACUGGAACUGAGACACGGUCCAGACUCCUACGGGAGGCAGCAGUAGGGAAUCUUCCGCAAUGGGCGAAGGCCUGACGGAGCAACGCCGCGUGAGUGAUGAAGGUCUUCGGAUCGUAAAACUCUGUAUUAGGGAAGAACAUAUGUGUAAGUAACUGUGCACAUCUUGACGGUACCUAAUCAGAAAGCCACGGCUAACUACGUG